rnacentral:lncRNA from 1 species
AGUUGAAGUUGAAGAAAAAAAAUGGACGAAUUUCAUCUUAAAUUCUGGAAAUUCCCAGAUUUCACUCCUCUGCCACGUGUCGUCACGUGGCUCUGCCACGUCACCGCCGCGUCAAAAUUCUACAACCCUUCAAACUUAAGUUUUGAUAUUUCGGACUCGUUCGGAGUCGGAAAAAUACAAACCUUAUAUGGAAUCUGAUUGGAAAUGAUAUUUCGGACUCAACGGUGAAGGCGGAAUUUCCAUUUGGAGCUCGCUUCGACGAAAAGUGGGUCCCACAUCCAGUAUCGUUUUGAACCAGAUACCACAACUGCUAUUUAAAAUCUCGGGAAGUGAACAAAGGGUCGUUCUAGACCAAAAUCGAUCUUCCGAAGCUAACCUAACCGUCAGAAUUUUCAUCUGAGCACGACUUCCAAGAAGGUUGACCAAAGUCAACUUUUCAAGUUAUAAAAAUCUCAAAAACAGGAAAACGGGCCCAAAACCCAAACGAACGACCAGGCGACCGAACAGUCAGUGCCAGCAAGUCAUAAAUGACUUGGGGUCGCUACAGGAAUGCUCUA